ensembl:lncRNA
GAGGAUAGAAUAGAGCCGCAGGACAAUGAGACUGAGGAGACUGAGGAUAGAAUAGGGCCGAAUGACAAUGAGACUGAGGAGACUGAGAAGAGAAUAGGGCCUCAGGACAAUGAGACUGAGGAGACUGAGGAUAGAAUAGGGCCGCAGCACAAUGAGACUGAGGAUAGAAUAGGGCCGAAUGACAAUGAGACUGAGGAGACUGAGGAUAGAAUAGGGCCGCAGGACAAUGAGACUGAGGAGACAGAGGUUAGAAUAGGGACGCAGGACAAUGAGACUGAGGAGACAGAGGAUAGAAUAGGGACGCAGGACAAUGAGACUGAGGAGACAGAGGUUAGAAUAGGGACGCAGGACAAUGAGACUGAGGAGACAGAGGAUAGAAUAGGGACGCAGGACAAUGAGACUGAGGAGACAGAGUUUAG